GGGAAACGAUGUGGGAAGGCUUAGACAGCUAGGAGGUUGGCUUAGAAGCAGCCAUCCUUUAAAGAAAGCGUAAUAGCUCACUAGUCGAGUCGGCCUGCGCGGAAGAUGUAACGGGGCUCAAACUGGAUACCGAAGCUGCGGCAGUGUGCUUAGGCAUACUGGGUAGGGGAGCGUUGUGUAAGUCUGUGAAGGUGUGUUGAGAAGCAUGCUGGAGAUAUCACAAGUGCGAAUGCUGACGUGAGUAACGAUAAUGCGGGUGAAAAACCCGCACGCCGAAAGACCAAGGUUUCCUGCGCAACGCUAAUCGGCGCAGGGUGAGUCGGCCCCUAAGGCGAGGCUGAAAGGCGUAGCUGAUGGGAAACGGGUUAAUAUUCCCGUACUUCUUGUAACUGCGAUGGAGAGACGGAGAAGGCUAGGCCUACCGGGCGUUGGUUGUCCCGGGGAAAGACCGUAGGCUGGGAUCUUAGGCAAAUCCGGGAUCCUAAGGCUGAGAGUCGAGACCACCGGCCCUUUGCGGCUGGGAAGUGGUUGAUGCCCUGCUUCCAGGAAAAUCUUCUAAGCUUCAGGUUACAAGGAACCGUACCCCAAACCGACACAGGUGGUUGGGAUGAGUAUUCUAAGGCGCUUGAGAGAACUCGGGUGAAGGAACUAGGCAAAGUGGUACCGUAACUUCGGGAGAAGGUACGCCACUUGGUGUGAAGGGCUUGCCCCGUAAGCACCGAGUGGUCGCAGUGAAAAGGCCCCUGCAACUGUUUAUUAAAAACACAGCACUCUGCAAACGCGUAAGCGGACGUAUAGGGUGUGACGCCUGCCCGGUGCCGGAAGGUUAAUUGAUGGGGUUAGCUUCGGCGAAGCUCUUGAUCGAAGCCCCGGUAAACGGCGGCCGUAACUAUAACGGUCCUAAGGUAGCGAAAUUCCUUGUCGGGUAAGUUCCGACCUGCACGAAUGGCGUAAUGAUGGGGGCACUGUCUCCACCCGAGACUCAGUGAAAUCGAAAUCGCAGUGAAGAUGCUGUGUACCCGCGGCUAGACGGAAAGACCCCGUGAACCUUUACUAUAGCUUCACAGUGGACUUUGAGCCUGCUUGUGUAGGAUAGCUGGGAGACAUUGAAGCGGUGACGCCAGUCAUCGUGGAGUCGUCCUUGAAAUACCAGCCUGGCAUGUUCGAGGUUCUAACCCAGGCCCGUUAUCCGGGUCGGGGACAUUGUGUGGUGGGUAGUUUGACUGGGGCGGUCUCCUCCCAAAGAGUAACGGAGGAGCACAAAGGUACCCUCAGCACGGUCGGACAUCGUGCAAUGAGCGUAAAGGUAGAAGGGUGCUUGACUGCGAGACCUACAAGUCGAGCAGGUGCGAAAGCAGGUCUUAGUGAUCCGGUGGUUCUGUAUGGAAGGGCCAUCGCUCAACGGAUAAAAGGUACUCCGGGGAUAACAGGCUGAUACCGCCCAAGAGUUCAUAUCGACGGCGGUGUUUGGCACCUCGAUGUCGGCUCAUCUCAUCCUGGGGCUGAAGCCGGUCCCAAGGGUAUGGCUGUUCGCCAUUUAAAGAGGUACGCGAGCUGGGUUUAGAACGUCGUGAGACAGUUCGGUCCCUAUCUGCCGUGGGCGUUAGAGAUUUGAGAGGAGCUGCUCCUAGUACGAGAGGACCGGAGUGGACGAACCUCUGGUGUUCCGGUUGUCACGCCAGUGGCAUUGCCGGGUAGCUACGUUCGGACGGGAUAACCGCUGAAAGCAUCUAAGCGGGAAGCCUCCCUCAAGAUGAGAUCUCUCUGGGACUUGAUUCCCCUAAGGGCCGUUGAAGACCACAACGUUGAUAGGCGGGGUGUGGAAGCUGCCGUAAGGCGUGAAGCUAACCCGUACUAAUUGCCCGUGAGGCUUGACC
rnacentral:rRNA from 1 species